AGAACAAAGAUCGGAGAAAAACGAUGCGACGACCUACCUUGGUCGGACAGAUGAAGUUCGCCGCUCAGGUCGGCGGCGAGAACAUGGAGCGAGCAGAGGAAUCUAUUUCUGAGAUUGAUGUGAUUGCACCUACUAAGAUUCUUCAGCAAAUCUUGAAGACACCUCGAAAUCGUGUCUCAGUAGCAGUUCAGCGAACUGUCGUCUUAAAUCCCGGAGAGUGAGAGACUCAUUGGGAAACGUUCAUUGGGCGUUAGCUUUCAGAGCUACGCGGAGGCAAGCUUGGGCUUGUCACCUGUUAGCCAA